GAUUUCAAAGACAGCUAGGAUGUUGGCUUAGAAGCAGCCAUACAUUAAAAGAGUGCGUAAUAGCUCACUGGUCGAGUGACCCUGCGCCGAAAAUUUAACGGGGCUAAAUCGUACACCGAAGCUUGGGAUGCAGUAAUGCAUGGUAGGAGAGCGUCGUAUAAGGGGUGAAGUCAGAGCGUAAGCGUUGGUGGACUUUAUACGAGUGAGAAUGCCGGAAUGAGUAGCGAGAAAUAUGUGAGAAUCA
rnacentral:rRNA from 1 species